AGAUUCUUGGCAACUGGACUGAAGAAAUUAUUUUGGGAAAACCCCAAAGUGAGAAAAACAAGUGCUGAGUAAUUUUCUUGGGUGUGCGCCCAUCAUGCACUGCAAAAUGCGAAUGUUUGCUUUUUCCUAAGAUGCAGUGACUUACUUAGACACAGUAACUGCUUCUCUGGACAUAGGUUGCCUUGCUUGCUUAAAAGGAACUCAAGAGAGGGAACUAGAUGCCCUGUGAGCGCACUUAGCAGGAAAACUAGACAAUCCACCAGCCCAGGAGGGGACAAGCAGGCUUAUUCCUCCUCCUCGUCAUCUCUGGCUCCAGCCCCACCCUGGCCCUUGCUGGCAUUCUUCCUCUUCACGUGGCUGGGGUUGGCCACCCCAAUAGGGAAGCAGAGGGAGAAGUCAAUGUGCUUCUGGGAAUCCAGGCGGACAGUGAAGAACAGGAUAUUUACCACCUGCUCACGGACACGGAUAUGACACUGUUGAAUCAGCACAUGAGCGUGGCGGAUGGACUUAGCCAAGC
ensembl:lncRNA CBR3-AS1 CBR3 antisense RNA 1